GGAGAGUUGCUAGUUUACCUCAGAACUUGGCGCACUUGUGCCUAUAUAAACUCUGAAUGCCCGCUGCCUAGUUGCUGUCUGUCCUAGAGGCAGCCACAGUACCAUUGUAUUUGUGCGGCUACAUGGACCAGAAGAUCAGAAGACCAGCAUCUGAAGACAUCAGCAUUAAGAACUGACUGUGCUUACCAAUCUCUGAACUCCACAUCAUUUUCAGAGAAAGAAACAGAGGCCCUGUUGAUCGCUCACCCUCAGGUGAUCACAGAGCCAAGCGCCUCUUCAGCAUCAGCAGAAGCACUUGAGACCCAGGGUCCGUCAGCCGCCUGUGACAAUGAUGGGGGAAACCCCAGUUCAAGUCCCCCCUCCACCUGAUGAGAAGAAGGGAGUUGAAAAGAGAUCUACCACUUCCCAGACAAAGUCCGCACCCCUCCUCCCACUUCUGACAUCAACAGAUCAGCAAGUUCAGCCAGGCACAGCAGCACUGGCUGCUUAAGAAAGAAAACUAAAGCAGCCAAAGAAGGUCGGCCAGGGUAGCAGGGAGUGGGAGAUCUCAUGUGCUGCCAAAGCUCAUGUGCUGCCAAAACACUCUCUCAGCCCCUAAAAGAGAACCAAAGCCAGGUGAUUGGGAGUAGAUCUGGAGAGGUCAGAUGACCAUUCCAUUCUUUAUGCUCCAUCUGUUUUAAUUCUUACUGUCCUGGAUCUGGCUCCUGUAUACAGCAAAGGCACAGUCCUGGCUUCCUCUAAUGGCAAACAGUGACCUCCCCUACAUCCUCUGGACAGCUGCCCCCAACCCAAUGUACCCUGUCUACAAGUUCUCAGCAUUCUGGCAGCCCACACCUCCUUGCCAUUGGUGUGCACAAGUUAAAGCUGAACAGGGAGAUGGGGGUGGGAGGAUGAUGUAGGAUGCCAGGAUGCUUCUGAGCUCAUGCAUUUUGAAUUAUCAGAGAACCUGGUGCACUCCAUAGUUUGAUGCAGAAUAUAAUGAAUUUUUACAUGCUUUACACAAUACAAGUCACCAGGCUUCAGCACAAGGGUAGCUGAACCCUAAGAUGUGUGAGCGGUGUUUCAGAUGCUGGCAUACCACAAGUGGUGACCUGUAGGCAUGACAAGGCUGGUUGGUCACCGUAUUGUAGGCCAUAGAGAAUUAAUGGGAAUGUGGAGAAUGAAGUUGGGAGUUGCAGGUAAGAGUAGAGGGUUCCUGGAACAGUGUUGCACCUAGUAAAGAGGAAUUGAAACUAUGUACUCAUGAGUCCAGCCCACUUUAAUUACUGAUGGCACUCACCACAUCUACAACAUCAGCGAGAGAAAUGAGAAAAAAAUUGCAAGUACUAAACACAUGUUUCUCUAGUUGGAGCAAAGAAUCCACCAAAAAUCUGAUUCUAAUCUAGGGUAUCAAGCUGAAACUAUACCAUAAAAGACUUUAUAUCCCCUCUGUAUAAUCCAUUUCAGGUCCAUAAAAUGCCAUCAAAAUG